rnacentral:rRNA from 1 species
GACGAACGCUGGCGGCGUGCUUAACACAUGCAAGUCGAGCGGUAAGGCCUUUCGGGUACGACGAGCGGCGAACGGGUGAGUAACACGUGGGUGACCUGCCUUUAGCUUCGGGAUAAGCCUGGGAAACCGGGUCUAAUACCGGAUAUGACCUCAUGUCGCAUGGUGUGGGGUGGAAAGUUCUUCGGCUAGAGAUGGGCCCGCGGCCUAUCAGCUUGUUGGUGGGGUGAUGGCCUACCAA